UACGGAGGGUGCGAGCGUUGUCCGGAAUCAUUGGGCGUAAAGGGCGCGUAGGUGGCGGGACAAGCGUGCGGUGAAAGCCUGGGGCUCAACCCCGGGUCGGCCGUGCGAACUGUUUUGCUUGAGCACUGUAGAGGCAGGCGGAAUUCCGGGUGUAGCGGUGGAAUGCGUAGAGAUCCGGAAGAACACCGGUGGCGAAGGCGGCCUGCUGGGCAGUAGCUGACACUGAAGCGCGACAGCGUGGGGAGCAAACAGG
rnacentral:rRNA from 1 species